rnacentral:rRNA from 1 species
CAACUCGACUACAUGAAGCUGGAAUCGCUAGUAAUCGCAAAUCAGAAUGUUGCGGUGAAUACGUUCCCGGGUCUUGUACACACCGCCCGUCACACCAUGGGAGCCGGUAAUACCCGAAGUCAGUAGUCCAACCUCGUGAGGACGCUGCCGAAGGUAGGAUUGGCGACUGGGGUGAAGUCGUAACAAGGUACC